GGGGGACAGGGUGACAGGUGGUGCAUGGUUGUCGUCAGCUCGUGUCGUGAGAUGUUGGGUUAAGUCCCGCAACGAGCGCAACCCUCGCCUCUCGUUGCCAGCAUUCGGUUGGGCACUCUAGAGGGACUGCCGGCGACAAGUCGGAGGAAGGUGGGGAUGACGUCAAAUCAUCAUGCCCCUUAUGACCUGGGCUACACACGUGCUACAAUGGGCGGUACAAAGGGCAGCGAACCCGCGAGGGGGAGCGAAUCCCAAAAAGCCGCUCUCAGUUCGGAUUGCAGGCUGCAACUCGCCUGCAUGAAGCCGGAAUCGCUAGUAAUCGCGGAUCAGCAUGCCGCGGUGAAUACGUUCCCGGGCCUUGUACACACCGCCCGUCACACCACGAGAGCUUGCAACACCCGAAGUCGGUGCGGUAACCCUGACGGGAGCCAGCCGCCGAAGGUGGGGCAAGUGAUUGGGGUGAAGUCGUAACAAGGUAGCCGUACCGGAAGGUGCGGCUGGAUCACCUCCUUU
rfam:Geobacillus sp. B4113_201601 NODE_348, whole genome shotgun sequence.